CGGGUGGUUACAGAGGCUUCACUGGAGAGAGUGGCGCCACCAAGCGCCUUUCCUGAGAACUACACUCAGCAUCUCAGCCUCAAACCACCUGAGCUUUGAAUUGUGUCUGUGAGUUAUCUGGACUUUAUCUCAAUUUAUUUUGUGUAUCCGUUGCCACGGUGUGUGGUAAGGUAUCAGAAGAACCGAAAAGGUGGUUUCUGGGGGAUCUGGAUCAGAAAUGUUUCCAUAUACAUGAACAGUAAUCGCUCCUUCAUAGGAAGACUUUUCCGCUUACAGUGGGCAUGCUCUACUUUGGAAGACCAGGGAACCUGUAUGUGGACUGUGCCUCCCUACGAGGAUCCACCAGUCCGGGGCACGUGGGUGAGACUGGAGGGCUGGAGGAGGUAGAAGGGCCUGCUCCUUGCUUGCUGAACAGUGCUGCGAGUGUCACACCAACAGCAAUUCUUUCUGGAAAUUUAAAAAUGGGCAGAGGAUCAGAAGAGACAUUUUUCCAAAGAAGACAUACAGAUGGCCAACAGGUGACAUCAAUACUUGGUGCUUCCUCUUUGGCUUUGUAUGGCAUGGUUAUCCCCACUCGAAGACCUACCUUACGAAGGAAAGGAGUGAUCAGAGAAACAGGAUGGAAACUAGAAGAGAGUCGUGUCCAGAUGCCCAGGAAGGAGAAUAUUUCUAGAAGGAAGCGAUGCGCCAUGUCAAAUGCUAGUGAAAGAUCCAGCAACGAGAGAUCUGAACAUGCUUAUUGGAUUUAGCAGCAGGUUUUAAUAAAGUGUUGGCAAACCUUUCAAUCAGUUUGGCUGUGAGAAGGGAAGGAAAAUAAAGUGCUGGAGCUGGAGACACAAUGAGACUAA
rnacentral:lncRNA from 1 species